rnacentral:ncRNA from 1 species
AUCCCUGUGAGAAUGCCCUACAUAUUCCUUCCCGGAAAAAAGGAGCAGGCAUUAGGCACAACAUUUGUUAGCCCACAACGCCUUGCUUAGCCACACCCCCAAGGGAACUCAGCAGUAAUAAACAUUAAGCUAUAAGUGUAAACUUGACUUAGUUAAAACCAAGAGGGUCGGUAAAACUCGUGCCAGCCACCGCGGUUAUACGAGAGACCCAAGUUGAUGAACGCCGGCGUAAAAUGUGGUUAAUAUAAAAUUUCACUAAAGCCAAACAUCUUCAAAGCUGUUAUACGCCCCCGAAGACAAGAAGCCCCCUCACGAAAGUGGCCUUAAACCAUAUUAUCCACGAAAGCUAGGGAACAAACUGGGAUUAGAUACCCCACUAUGCCUAGCCUUAAACACAAGUGAUUAUUUACACCCGUCGCUUGCCCGGGUACUACGAGCCUCAGCUUAAAACCCAAAGGACUUGGCGGUGCUUUAGACCCACCUAGAGGAGCCUGUUCUAGAACCGAUAAUCCCCGUUAAACCUCACCCUCUCUUGUCUUUCCCGCCUAUAUACCGCCGUCGUCAGCUUACCCUGUGAAGGGCACAUAGUGAGCACAACUGGUACAACCUAAAACGUCAGGUCGAGGUGUAGCGUACGAGAGGGGAAGAAAUGGGCUACAUUCACUGCCCCAGUGAACACGGAUAAUGCCUUGAAACAAGCAUUCAAAGGAGGAUUUAGCAGUAAGGAGGGAAUAGAGCGCCCCCCUGAAACUGGCCCUGAAGCGCGCACACACCGCCCGUCACUCUCCCCGAAAAAUAAAACAAAUUAAAUAAAAAACAAUUUCAAUAAAGGGGAGGUAAGUCGUAACAUGGUAAGUGUACCGGAAGGUGUACUUGGAAAAAU